rnacentral:rRNA from 1 species
CAGUCGAACGAGAAUCUUUGGAAUGAUUCUUUCGGGAUGAAUUCCAAAGAGGAACGUGGCGGACGGGCGAGUAACGCGUGAGUAACCUGCCCAUAAGAGGGGGAUAAUCCAUGGAAACGUGGACUAAUACCGCAUAUUGUAGUUAAGUUGCAUGACUUGAUUAUGAAAGAUUUAUCGCUUAUGGAUGGACUCGCGUCAGAUUAGAUAGUUGGUGAGGUAACGGCUCACCAAGUCAACGAUCUGUAGCCGAACUGAGAGGUUGAUCGGCCGCAUUGGGACUGAGACACGGCCCAGACUCCUACGGGAGGCAGCAGUGGGGAAUAUUGCGCAAUGGGGGCAACCCUGACGCAGCAACGCCGCGUGCAGGAAGAAGGUCUUCGGAUUGUAAACUGUUGUCGCAAGGGAAGAAGACAGUGACGGUACCUUGUGAGAAAGUCACGGCUAACUACGUGCCAGCAGCCGCGGUAAUACGUAGGUGACAAGCGUUGUCCGGAUUUACUGGGUGUAAAGGGCGCGUAGGCGGACUGUCAAGUCAGUCGUGAAAUACCGGGGCUUAACCCCGGGGCUGCGAUUGAAACUGACAGCCUUGAGUAUCGGAGAGGAAAGCGGAAUUCCUAGUGUAGCGGUGAAAUGCGUAGAUAUUAGGAGGAACACCAGUGGCGAAGGCGGCCUACUGGGCUUUAACUGACGCUGAGGCACGAAAGUGUGGGUAGCAAACAGGAUUAGAUACCCU